GGGGAAUUUUCCGCAAUGGGCGAAAGCCUGACGGAGCAAUACCGCGUGAGGGAGGAAGGCUCUUGGGUCGUAAACCUCUUUUGUCAGGGAAGAAAACAAUGACGGUACCUGACGAAUCAGCAUCGGCUAACUCCGUGCCAGCAGCCGCGGUAAUACGGAGGAUGCAAGCGUUAUCCGGAAUUAUUGGGCGUAAAGCGUCCGCAGGUGGCUCCUCAAGUCUGCCGUUAAAGGCCAGGGCUCAACUCUGGUUAGGCGGUGGAAACUGUAGAGCUAGAGUGCAGGAGGGGUAGAGGGAAUUCCCGGUGUAGCGGUGAAAUGCGUAGAUAUCGGGAAGAACAUCGGUGGCGAAGGCGCUCUACUGGACUGCAACUGACACUCAGGGACGAAAGCUAGGGGAGCGAAUGGGAUUAGAUACCCCAGUAGUCA
rnacentral:rRNA from 1 species